rnacentral:rRNA from 1 species
UAGUCGAGAGGUCCUGCGCCGAAAAUGUCCGGGGCUAAAACACGACACCGAAGCUGAGGAACAUGAAAAUGUUGGUAGAGGAGCAUUCUUAACGGAACGAAGCUGUACCGUAAGGAGCAGUGGACUGUUAAGAAGAGAGAAUGCCGGAAUGAGUAGCGAGAUGGAGGUGGGAAUCCUCCAGGCCGAAUAUCCAAGGUUUCCAGAGUAAAGCUGAUCUGCUCUGGGUAAGUCGGGGCCUAAGGCGAGGUCGAAAGACGUAGUCGAUGGACAACAGGUUGAGAUUCCUGUACUGCAAUGUAACAGAACUGUGGGGACACAGAGAGAAAGUGGGACCCGGGAGUGGAAAAACCGGGGCAAGCGGGGUACCGGAAUGACAGGCAAAUCCGUCAUUCAACGGGAAGACGUAAUGCGUACCGAAAUAAGAGUAGGGAAGUCCAUGAGCUAGCUGUCAAGAAAAGCCGCUAUUGUUUGCAUUGUACCCGUACCGUAAACCGACACAGGUGGAUGAGGAGAGAAUCCUAAGGCCGACGGAAGAAGUAUUGUUAAGGAACUCGGCAAAAUGACUCCGUAACUUCGGGAUAAGGAGUGCCAGGAAACUGGCCGCAGAGAAUUGGUCCAAGCAACUGUUUAGCAAAAACACAGGUUUAUGCAAAACCGUAAGGUGAAGUAUAUGAGCUGACGCCUGCCCGGUGCUGGAAGGUUAAGGGGAGUGCUUAGCGCUUGCGCGAAGGUGCGAACUUAAGCCCCAGUAAACGGCGGCCGUAACUAUAACGGUCCUAAGGUAGCGAAAUUCCUUGUCGGGUAAGUUCCGACCCGCACGAAAGGCGUAAUGAUUUGGACGCUGUCUCGACAAUACAUCCGGUGAAAUUGAAAUACCAGUGAAGAUGCUGGUUACCUGCGCCAGGACGGAAAGACCCCAUGGAGCUUUACUCUAGCUUGAUACUGGGAUUCGAUAUUGUAUGUACAGGAUAGGUGGGAGGCUGAGAACUCAUGACGCCAGUUGUGAGUGAGCCGCUGUUGGGAUACCACCCUUGCAGUAUUGGAUUUCUAACCUGCCGCCGUAAACCGGCGGGGGGACAAUGUCAGGUGGGGAGUUUGACUGGGGCGGUCGCCUCCGAAAGAGUAUCGGAGGCGCUCAAAGGUUCCCUCAGAAUGGUUGGAAACCAUUCGAAGAGUGCAAAGGCAGAAGGGAGCUUGACUGUGACACCGACGGGUGGAACAGGUACGAAAGUAGGACUUAGUGAUCCGGUGGUAUAAAGUGGGAUUGCCAUCGCUCAACGGAUAAAAGCUACCCUGGGGAUAACAGGCUUAUCACUCCCAAGAGUUCACAUCGACGGAGUGGUUUGGCACCUCGAUGUCGGCUCAUCGCAUCCUGGGGCUGUAGUAGGUCCCAAGGGUUGGGCUGUUCGCCCAUUAAAGCGGUACGCGAGCUGGGUUCAGAACGUCGUGAGACAGUUCGGUCCCUAUCCGGCGUGGGCGUAGGAUAUUUGAGAGGAGCUGUCCUUAGUACGAGAGGACCGGGAUGGACUGACCUCUGGUGUAUCUGUUGUCUUACCAAAGGCAUGGCAGAGUAGCCAAGUCGGGACGGGAUAAACGCUGAAGGCAUCUAAGCGUGAAGCCCCCCUCAAGAUGAGAUAUCCCAUACGCAAGUAAUAAGACCCCUUGAAGACGACAAGGUUGAUAGGUUAGAGGUGGAAGUGCAGUAAUGCAUGCAGCUGACUAAUACUAAUAGGUCGAAAGCUUAACCAA